UACGUAGGGCGCAAGCGUUGUCCGGAAUUAUUGGGCGUAAAGAGCUCGUAGGCGGUCUGUUACGUCCGCUGUGAAAACCCAGGGCUUAACCCUGGGCUUGCAGUGGAUACGGGUAGACUAGAGGCAGGUAGGGGAGAAUGGAAUUCCCGGUGUAGCGGUGAAAUGCGCAGAUAUCGGGAGGAACACCGGUGGCGAAGGCGGUUCUCUGGGCCUGACCUGACGCUGAGGAGCGAAAGCUAGGGUAGCAAACAGG
rnacentral:rRNA from 1 species